UUCUUUCUCUUUCUCUUUCUCUUUCUCGUUCUCUCCGUCUCUGCAACUCUUGCUCUGCAACUUAGAAAACAAAUCUCCGUCUCUCCAUCGUUCACCUCAAACUUCACCUCAAAUUUCACCUCAAACUCAGAAAACAAACCCCAACUUCAUAGAAGAAGAGUUCAUAUUUCUCAGCGUCAACUCAGUUCCGACUUUUUGGUUUUGUUUUUAUAGUAGCUGCGUACGUGUGGAAGAAGAUGAAGACCAAUUUGUCUGCAAUAGUAAACAAAAAGGUUAUCAAAGAAGCAAAGAGCAACAAGUCGGUCCCAACUCCUAAAAAGGUAGUAAACAAGCAGGCAAAAAUCGUCUGUGUGUCUCCUUUCAAGACCAAUUUGAAAGACCAGAGUAAAAAGUCUCCUGCCAAACAAACUCCUAAGAAGAAGAAGAAGAAGAGUUCAGAGCAUCCUGAUAGCGGAAAGAGUCCAAGAAGAUCAUCCCCUAGGUUCAAGAACACUCCUGAGGAACCUCAUAAUGCUGAAAAGACAUCUCAGAAUAGUUCAGAGGAACCACAUGAUGCUGAAAAGACUACUCCAACACGAUCAUCGGCUCGGAAAACUAAAAGUGAAGUUGAACCAGUCGCUGAAAAGACAACUCCAACACGAUCAUCACUUAGGAAAAGGAAAAGCUCAUUUGAACCAGAACAAUCUCAACCAUUACAGUCCACAUCAGGAGCAUCUCAAGUUGCACCCUCUAGUGAAGUUGUUAAGAAGCAGAAAUAUGCAAAGCGGAGAUUGUACACAGGGCCAUGUCCAAAUGUGCAAGUCAGGAAUGUGAAUGAUACUUUCUCAGAUCUUCAAGACAGCGAAGACGAAGAAGAUGAAGAUGAUGAACAAGAAGAGAAGGGAAAUGAAGAGGUGGAAAAUGAGAACGUGGAAAAUGAGGAUGAGGAAAAUGAGGAUGAGGAAAAUGAGAACGAUGGCGAGGACCAUGGCGUGGAAAAUGAAAAUGAAACAGAAGCUCAGGCAAAACCGAAAAGAAAGUACGUUCCACGUGGCCCAACAAGGAUGAGUGCACUAGGGCUAACAAAUGGUAAGAAUGGAAAGGAAGUUGUUAGCUUUAACAAUAAGGAUCAUCCCAUUGGUGAUCCUUCGGUGCAGCUUGCAAGUGUGUUGGGAGUUAUGGUUAGGAGAAACAUCGCACUAAAACACAGGGAUUGGAGACGUGUCCCUAAAGAAGCCAAAGAUAACAUAUGGGCGGUUGUCCAGCAAAGGUUUGUUGUCAAUGAGUUUUAUAAAGAUUACUAUGUUGGGAAGAUGGGAUGUUAUCUUAAAGAGGCUAGGUCAAGGAAAUUCGGGAAGAUACUCGCCUUAGAUGAGCUAGAGAAAGAAGAAAGAGAGAAGAAGCUGGCAGCACUGAAACCAGAUAAUAGCACUGUCAAUGAGUGGGAAGAGUUCGUGAAACAUGUUUGCUCGGAGGAAUUCAGAACAAAAAGAUUCUGGAUGCAACAAAUCAGGAAGAAAUACACCACUCCACACACUAUCAGUAGACUAGGUUGGGCGAGACUCGAGGCUAAGAUGCAAAAGGAACGGAAAACACAAGAACAAAUUGAUAGAGUCGAAGUUUGGACAACGGGUCACAAACAGAAGGAAUGAAAGGAACCUAAUCCGGGUGUUGUGGAGGCUUUGAUAUACACAAUUACAGGAAAAGAAUCAAAGAGCAGCAGAAGAGCAUGGUGCUGAUGUUGUAUCAUCUGUGACAGAUGAUCUUCUUGCCAAAGCUCUUGGUGACGACAAACCAGGGAGACUGAGAGGAAUUAGGUAUGGAGCGACAAAGACAAAAAUGGCUGUCAAGGCCCAUUAUAAGAAGAUCAUCAAAAAGUGUCGGGACAAUAUGAAGGAUGUGAACGAGAGACUUGCACUGUUAGAGGAAAAGACGUCGAGUUGUGUCUGCCAUGGUGCCUCACACUUGCACAACGUCAGUCCAAAGUCUGGAAAUGCUAGCAAUGUUGUUGGUAGCACUAGCAUGAAUGUUCCCCACCAUGAAAAUGACAGUCCAAUCAGCAGACCAAUGGCAGGGGGAGUGCUAGAGAAGGGUAAAGCUUGCAGGUUGCUCAGUUGGUACAAUGAGAAUGAGGUUGUUGCUGACGCGGUUAUUGCUGAAACAGAUCCAAAGAUGAAGUGCCAUGGAGAACCAAUAGGUUUUGCAGCUUACAAGGUAACUGUCACUACAUCUAUUGUUGAUGAUGCCAUUCUCUACAAGCAAAGCGGCGAGUUCAAGACUCUAUUCAACGUUGUAGGAACUUAUACCACAUGGUCCAAGGAUCUCAUAUUGCCUGCAAUCUGACUUGUUAUUAUGUUUGGGGAGUGUUUGGGGAGUGUUCAUAAAACAAUCUUGUUCUUUUUUUGUUUCUCUUAUCAGCUUAAAACAAUGUUGUUCUUUUUUUGGUGCACUUAUCAGUUUAAAACAAUGAUGUUAUUUUUUGGUGGCUGUGAGAAUGUGUUAUCAGCAGGUUCAAGUGUUUGAAUGUUGUUACAUUUUAAUUGAAUGAAGCCAAUUUAUAUAUUUUCCGGUGAA